GAUGAACGCUGGCGGCGUGCCUAAUACAUGCAAGUCGAGCGAACGGACGAGAAGCUUGCUUCUCUGAUGUUAGCGGCGGACGGGUGAGUAACACGUGGAUAACCUACCUAUAAGACUGGGAUAACUUCGGGAAACCGGAGCUAAUACCGGAUAAUAUUUUGAACCGCAUGGUUCAAAAGUGAAAGACGGUCUUGCUGUCACUUAUAGAUGGAUCCGCGCUGCAUUAGCUAGUUGGUAAGGUAACGGCUUACCAAGGCAGCGAUGCAUAGCCGACCUGAGAGGGUGGUCGACGACCACAGAAGUGAGAAGAGGUCCAGACGACUACGGGAGGCGGCAGUAGGGAGGAUUACGGAAUGAGCGGAGGCAUGCCGGUGCAGCGACGCGUGGGUAAUGAUGGUGUUCGGAUCGUUGUACACUGUUAUUGGGGAUGAACAAAUGUGUCAGUGUCUGUGCAUGUCUUGACGGUACCUGAACAGAAAGCGCCGGCUAACUACGUG
rnacentral:rRNA from 1 species